AUCUUAUUCAUAUUUGACCAAAAGGCGAUAUGCCUGGUGCCCAGAGAAGAAAGACUUCAGGCCAUUUUCUUGCCCUCAAAAGGGAAUACAGACACAAGACCCACCAUGGAUCUGCAUGACCGGAAUGGAUUCUUGCAUGCCAUAAAAUUCUGGUACGCCAUGGUUCCCUUUUCUGUUAAAGUUGGCAGUGGAGGAUCUGAUUCUGUUUCACAACAUUCCUAAGCUCUUUCACCAGGGCCAAUUUAUCACUCCGACACUCACAUAUUCCAACUAAGGGCAUGGAAGUUAGAAGACAAUGUAUUUUCAGUGGCAGUCAUAGCUAUAAUGCUUAUGGGUAGAAAUCAGUCCACCUCCCAGUCUUAUAAAAAGAUUUGGGAUGCAUUUACUGAUUGAUUGGGUCACUAGGAACCCUAUUUCUCCAGUAUCUCUCUCCACAUUUGAUAUUUUGGGGUUGCUUCAGACUGGAUUGGAUAAAGGACUCAGUCUUAACACACUUAAAGGACCACUCUAGGCACCCAGACCACUUCAGCUUAAUGAAGUGGUCUGGGUACCUGGUCCAGCUAGGGUUAACCCAUUUUUUUUUAUAAACAUAGCAGUUUCAGAGAAACUGCUAUGUUUAUAAAUGGGUUAAGCCUUCCUCCAAAGCCUCUAGUGGCUGUCUCAUUGACAGCCGCUAGAGGCGCUUGCGUGCUUCUCACUGUGAAAAUCAACCGUUGUAAAAUUGUAAAUGCUUUCCUAUGUGACCGGCUGAAUGCGCGCGCAGCUCUUGCAGCGCGUGCGCAUUCAGCCGAAUGGGCGGAGAGGAGGAGGAUCGGAGGAGGAGAGCUCCCCGCCCAGCGCUGGAAAAAGGUAAGUUUUUACCCCUUUCCUCUCCCCAGAGCCGGGCGGGAGGGGGACCCUGAGGGUGGGGGCACCCUCAGGGCACUAUAGUGGUCCUUUAAGGUCCAUAUUUGACCUAUCUCUGCCUUAAAGGGACACUAUACUAUCUAUGGGAAGGAUGUUUUUUUUUUUUGCUAAACGGAUCACAGUAGCAUCAAUUUUUGGAAUGGUUUCACAGUGUUUCACUUCUGAUUAAAAUUGAUACUGUAUAUACUCGAGUAUAAGCCGACCCGAAUAUAAACCGAGGCAUCUAAUUUUACCACAAAAAAAUGGGAAAAAUUAUUGACUUGAG